AAAUUGAAGAGUUUGAUCAUGGCUCAGAUUGAACGCUGGCGGCAGGCCUAACACAUGCAAGUCGAGCGGCAGCGGGAAAGUAGCUUGCUACUUUUGCCGGCGAGCGGCGGACGGGUGAGUAAU
rnacentral:rRNA from 1 species